UCUAGACUUACUGGACAUCAAUGUGAAAAUACAGAUUAGAAAUGUAAAAGGAAAAACCUCCAGGAAAUGUCUGUAAAAAUAUGGGACCUGGAAAAUAUAGCCUUGCCUUAAAGCAUUGGAAAUGCAGCAAGAUGUCGUCGCCUUAAACUGCUGAGACAAAAGGCACCAGAGGCUACAGUAUAAAAUUAAGAAUACUUAAUAUUUUUAUGCCUGUGAUUGUUUGUGAUUGGAUUUGGUGUUGGAAAGGUGGCAAGUCGUCCCGAUCUCUUAACAUCUCCCCAGAUUCUCCUGAAAUCCCUCUCGCUAACUUGACAAGGGAGACGCAGACAAUACGGUCUUAGCCCGAGUACAUCCUGCUCCGUGAGUGUUUACAGCAGAAUGGGGCCAAAAACAGAUUAAAGUCAGGCAGCCACACAGCAGCCAUGUCUGAACAGCUCAACGAGGACGGCAUUACAGACGAACUGGCAUCCAGGAUAUCUCGUGGAGGGAUGUUGUCACUGCCUUUUAGUCGCCAACAAACGCGAGUGGAGCGUAGGAGCGCGCGGGUUGGCAGACGACCAAGCCGGGGUCCAUUCUCUCCUGACACACACGUUUGUUCUCCACCUCGCAUGGAUUUAGACGCAUUGAAUGAGUUGGAGUGUGGGCUCGGAGGAACGCACCAACCCACUGUCUCUGUGUCGCCAGUAAAGGCCGUAGCGAACGCGGCGCGGGGAUUUUGUCAGGGAUCCACUUCAGACGCUUGUGUCACUGCGGCGUUUAAAUCCAAGCCUGGCAGAGAGUGGCGUCACCUGCGAGGGCGUCUGCAUGGCGGUUCCUUUGAUGUCCUUGGCUAUCUCGGGCUUCUGGCAGGCCACGCUGGAGACGCACCAGGCACUUGGAUCCCGGCUGCUAUCUGCAGGAUCCUGCUGCUUACACCUGGGUAGAUUAAAGCCAAAGUCAUCCAAAGUGCAGUUGUGCUCCGGCAUGAAAUGGGUCCUGGACGACCUCCAAGAUGUCACCUCGCCUCCACCAUUAUCGAUGCGCCACCUGUCAUAUACAAACACGCUUCAAUGCCUAAUCAAGACCAUUCACUUUCUCCCCUCCAUGCCUCCUGCUGCAGAAUCCAAACCCGCCUUUUUCCUUCACCAACUAUUUGUUGCUCGGGGUGCCCUCAAGGUUACCGGCUGCUCACGUCCCAGCGUAGUUAGUAAGUAAGCUGUGGGUUUGACAGAAUGGGUCACGUCAGAGCCAAGUGGGACGUUAUUACAUCAUCAAGCGUUGUACAGCUGACAACCUAAUGCUUCUAUGAAAUUAAAGUGACAGCAAUCAGCAGCUUGUUUCGCAUCACUCUCACUUCCUGUCGUCUGCGGGACUGGAACUACUUUAAACUGUAACUACACAAACAUCAUAUCUGCACUGCACCUUAAAGCCAGCCGAUCAGUCUGAGGAUGCAGGAUACACACACGUACACACACCUGACCCAUUUCAUGAAGUAUGAUUGAGAACAACAUGAAAAGUCCCGAGCUGCCAAACCUGCCGACCCUCAGCAGGUUUGCCAGGAGCAGUGAGCGGAGGAGAGCAGGUGCAGCAGACAUUAAGACUCGUAAUAAGCGGCGAUGAUGAACCCGGGGGAGGGGGAGGGGGGUCAUGCGUGGACAGGAGAAAGGACGGAAGCAGGAAGCGCUGACGCCAGUUGUUACCUUGAGGUGGCAAUCAAUGCCACGGCUGCCGGAAGCUUAACCGGGGCGAUUUGCACCCCUGUCAGGGCCGCGCGGCCUCCGAAUCAUCACGCUGAAUAGCCCAGAGGUUGUAAAUCUAAACCGAAGACCAAAGUUGAACCAGUUCAUUUAAAUUAAAUCCAUUAUGCGUUUUAUUGACUGAGCGGAACAUUAGCAAUUCACUGCAUGACAUUUACUUCACAUAAUAAAUCCAUCUGUUGAGUGUGACUUAGUUGGAUUAGUUCUUACCUAGAGACCAAUGCACCUCUAGCUUGUUCAGGCUGGGAGUUUAUCUAACGAGUGAUGUCAAUGCGCCAAAGUUUAAAUGGAGUCAAGCUGAGCUGGUGCAUGUGCGGAGCAUUAAUUUGGCUCCUCCAGAGGAGCGCUGAAGACCGUGCGCUCGCAUCGUCCUCGCUGCAUCUGUCCGAGCGCUUUCUCUUCCUGACUCUUGCCAACGUGCAUCCGUAUGAAGUGGAUUCAUCCGGCCUCGGGAUAAUGGCUGCUCAAGUGGAGACGUUUCGAGCUCGUACUGUGUGAACACUUUUUUAUUUCGACGCUUUGUUGCCUGUGAGGAAUGUGUCUGUUCGUGCACUCGCCAGUUUUGCUUUUGAGGUUGAAUUGCAACAGUCCAUAAAAUAUGAUUCAUGAAGCUUUUUUAUUCUCAUAAAACUGUUCAUGCAUUUUUUGUAUAUACAGAGCGUUAGGGUUCGGGUCUAUAAAUAAUGGAACCAAGAUACGUUUUUUGGCCUCUGUGCUCAAUCCAUUUAAAAUUUUGAAGCACUCCAAAAUGUUAGCAGGCUGUGACAAAUAACUGUUCAGGAAUAAAAGUCAUUUUCAUGCACACACAACGUUUGCAUUUAGAUGUAACUUCCAGCAUGACAAGAGCAGAGCCGAGUUCUGUUCACGGUGAAAUGAAAGGCUGUCAGUUCUGGAGUGAGAGGAGCCUCAGCAUCAUCCAUUGGUUGAUGAAUCAAAGAAGAAUCAUUUGUCAUUUCCCUGAUAUAUGAGCGUCCCCAGAAAAGG